UACAAUAAAAUUACAUAAUUUAAAUUUAAACAUAAACAAACUAAAUGACGUCUAUUUUGCUUAAUGGUGCAUGCUAAAGAAACACAGCGUCAGAGCUGUCAAGAUGCUGAACGGAAUUUAUUUAAAUAUGCUCCUUCAAUUGGUUUUACAAAAAAUAGUGCACGGCGCUAAAUGUAAAUUUUGAAAUUGCGCGCCAUUCACCGGGGCCAGACCUGUCAAAAAUCGCGCCAAAGGAAUAUUGAAGCUACCACUAGAUGCGAGAUUAGUUGAAUUGCCCUGGGCACUCUCACUUAAAAACCUAACAGAGAACGACUGAUUUCAUAGUCGCCAGAGGCGCUACAGACGAUAAAGAGUUACAGAUUAAAUCAUGAAAUAACCCACUGUAGGAAAAUAUUCUGUGGGUGAAUGCGAUAACGCAAGUCAAAUGUCAAAUAAAUCUUCCCCAUUGUUGCUUGUGGGUUUGUCAUGGACAAGAUGUCUGUCAAUGUUGGUUAUUCGCUAUCAUCCAAAGAAUAAGCCUAUGCCGAUUUUAUUCAUUUCUGACGAUGUAAUCUGUGAUAAGUUGUAUGAUUUCCUGCCUCAUGAUUGUGAUAUGUUUCCCCAUGUUCUCCAAUACGUAAUUUGUGAAUAUUUUGUUGGAUUAUCUUAAAUCAAUAAUCAAUCAAUAAUCUGCGAAGAUGGUUAUUGGUGACCUGAAGGCUGUUAGAAAAUGCACGGCUUCCUAUCACAAAAGGCGUAUGUUUUAAAGUUAUUCUUAAAAAUGCUCCAAAGAUUUUUUUACCUGUAAAAAGUAUUUAUAUGAACAAUAAACAACAAGUAAUAUAUAUAUGUAUUUUUGUGUAGUUGUGUCAUUUAUCCCUAUUAUC